GGUGAGGGAGGAAGGCGGCGAUUUCAGAUCUGGGGUCGGAGGCGGUGGUGGCCGGCUCUUCGCUGCUGCUGCCGUUGACUGCCGGAGUCGAGGAAAGGGAAUGGGCGACGGCUUCUAGUUCGUGUGGGUGAGUGAGCUGUCGUGAGAGAGGGAGACAGAAGGAGAUGGAGGUCAGGGGCGGCGGCGGUAGCGGCCGGAGGCCGGCUGCUGUCGUCCGCCGGAUGAGGGAAAAGGGGGGGAGCUGGUGUGUGGUGUGUGGUGUGUGUGUGCGUGUGAGGGGAAGAGAGAGAUGUUGGGGGAAGCGGCAGUGAGGGGGGAGAAAUAAGGGA
rnacentral:lncRNA from 1 species